rnacentral:rRNA from 1 species
GAUGAACGCUGGCGGCGUGCCUAAUACAUGCAAGUCGAGCGAAUGGAUUAAGAGCUUGCUCUUAUGAAGUUAGCGGCGGACGGGUGAGUAACACGUGGGUAACCUGCCCAUAAGACUGGGAUAACUCCGGGAAACCGGGGCUAAUACCGGAGAACAUUUUGAACCGCAUGGUUCGAAAUUGAAAGGCGGCCUCGGCUGUCACUUAUGGAUGGACCCGCGUCGCAUUAGCUAGUUGGUGAGGUAACGGCUCACCAAGGCAACGAUGCGUAGCCGACCUGAGAGGGUGAUCGGCCACACUGGGACUGAGACACGGCCCAGACUCCUACGGGAGGCAGCAGUAGGGAAUUUUCGGCAAUGGGCGCAAGCCUGACCGAGCAACGCCGCGUGAGUGAUUAAGGCCUUCGGGUUGUAAAGCUCUGUUGUAAGGGAAGAACAUUCAGGAUAGGAAAUGAUCUUGAACUGACGGUACCUUACCAGAAAGCCACGGCUAACUACGUGCCAGCCGCCGCCGUAA